GGCGAUAAAUAAUAAUAAUGAUGAACCUUACGGAUGGCCCAGACUUAUCACCUCAGAUAUCAGACUGAAUUAGCCUAACUGCGCGCCUCUUCACUGGAACUGAGACCCAAAGCCCGUUGAGACUUGAAGCUGGUUUGGUGCGUGGAGUGAUCGCCACAGAGUUGGUGGGAUUGUGCGUGUGUAGGGAGUUGUGGGCUCGGCUUCCACACCUCCCCCCCUGGCCACAGCCGAUUAAGAGGGGAGAACAUUGCGGGAGAAGGGAGCCGAACACAUCCCCGAGGCUGCAGUGGCGCUGAGAUUCCUUCCGAUGUUGAUGUUCCCUGUACAACCGAGCAGGUUCCUGUAAGCAUCUCCUCAGAUCAAGAGCGCAGAACCACAAUGGUGAUGGCCACCUAGAACCAAUCCCUCGCCAACUGACGGAAUGAGCAUCGACCUGACGGACAGGAAGUGUGUCGGGCUCGCUGCCUCUUACCGCUGAGUCUCCC